rnacentral:rRNA from 1 species
UACGUAGGGAGCAAGCGUUGUCCGGAAUCAUUGGGCGUAAAGCGCGCGUAGGUGGCUUCGUAAGUCCGUUGUGAAAGUCAAAGGCUCAACCUUUGAAAGCCGAUGGAUACUGCGGAGCUAGAGUACGGAAGAGGCGAGUGGAAUUCCUGGUGUAGCGGUGAAAUGCGCAGAUAUCAGGAGGAACACCGGUGGCGAAGGCGGGUCUCUGGGCAUUACCUGACGCUGAGGAGCGAAAGUGUGGGGAGCGAACAGG